rnacentral:rRNA from 1 species
GACGAACGCUGGCGGCGUGCUUAACACAUGCAAGUCGAACGGAAAGGCCCUGCUUUUGUGGGGUGCUCGAGUGGCGAACGGGUGAGUAACACGUGAGUAACCUGCCCUUGACUUUGGGAUAACUUCAGGAAACUGGGGCUAAUACCGGAUAGGAGCUCCUGCUGCAUGGUGGGGGUUGGAAAGUUUCGGCGGUUGGGGAUGGACUCGCGGCUUAUCAGCUUGUUGGUGGGGUAGUGGCUUACCAAGGCUUUGACGGGUAGCCGGCCUGGGAGGGUGACCGGCCACAUUGGGACUGAGAUACGGCCCAGACGCCUACGGGGGGCAGCAGUGGGGAAUAUUGCACAAUGGGCGGAAGCCUGAUGCAGCAACGCCGCGUGCGGGAUGACGGCCUUCGGGUUGUAAACCGCUUUCGCCUGUGACGAAGCGUGAGUGACGGUAAUGGGUAAAGAAGCACCGGCUAACUACGUG